UUGCAUGCUCUGUGCAAAAAGCCAAUCUUUUCUUUGCUGAGUUGAACAAGGAUGAUGCUACAAGGCUCAAAGGUCUGUUUUGUCCUUUGUCUUUGCUUUCUAGGGCUGAUCAAAUUGGAGAGAAUAAGAAAAAGUAAAAUUGUUAAAAAAGUGAUUAGAACUAUAUUUGAUGCAUCUUCUUGUUUGUUUUUCAGAUUCGAAUGGAGUUGUGCGGGUAUAUCCGCGUCCAAGAGUUAUGAUUAAGCAUUGAUGUCCCUGAAACUUGAUGUCUGGAAAAUUUUAAUGUGUAUGAUGUCUUUUUAAGUUUGGGAAAAGGUUACCUUGAUGAGCGGAACCUUUUAUGUGACAUUUUGACACUUAAGGAACGAGGAUAUUAACUACUAAGUGCUUGUUUGGUACACCAUGGGAAAUGGGAAUUGACUUGCUAAAUUUUAUACUUCGUGUAAAUAAAGUGUUCUUGGGAAGUGCUGUNCUUCGUGUAAAUAAAGUGUUCUUGGGAAGUGCUGUUUUUUUUUUUUUGGUUGAUAGUAAGUAAUUUAGACUUCCUGGUUAUUCAUUUCUCAUUACAUGCUCUGUUUAACAAGUCCACUUCCUAUGUGAUAUGUCAAAUUACUAACAUCAAUUUAACCUCAAGGAUAACUUUGCUAUUUGUUCUUUCUUUUAGUUGUAUGGUUCUUCUUGAAUCUUGAUUUAUUAAUUAAUUUAAAGGUGUCUACUGAUCCAGUGAGUACUAGGCAUGUUUGAGGGUUGAGAAGGU
rnacentral:lncRNA from 1 species